AUUGAACGCUGGCGGCAUGCUUUACACAUGCAAGUCGAACGGUAACAGGCCUUCGGGUGCUGACGAGUGGCGAACGGGUGAGUAAUGCAUCGGAACGUACCCAGAGGUUGGGGAUAACGCAGCGAAAGCUGUGCUAAUACCGCAUGUGAUCUGAGGAUGAAAGCGGGGGACCGAGCAGCAAUGUUUGGCCUCGCGCCUUUGGAGCGGCCGAUGUCGGAUUAGCUAGUUGGUGGGGUAAAGGCCUACCAAGGCGACGAUCCGUAGCUGGUCUGAGAGGACGACCAGCCACACUGGGACUGAGACACGGCCCAGACUCCUACGGGAGGCAGCAGUGGGGAAUUUUGGACAAAGGGCGCAAGCCUGAUCCAGCAAUGCCGCGUGCGGGAAGAAGGCCUUCGGGUUGUAAACCGCUUUUGGCAGGAACGAAACGGUGUCCGCUAAUACCGGGCGCUAAUGACGGUACCUGCAGAAUAAGCACCGGCUAACUACGUG
rnacentral:rRNA from 1 species